UACGUAGGGGUCCGAGCGUUGUCCGGAAUUACUGGGCGUAAAGAGCUCGUAGGUGGUUUGUCGCGUUGUUCGUGAAAACUCACAGCUCAACUGUGGGCGUGCGGGCGAUACGGGGCAGACUAGAGUACUGCAGGGGAGACUGGAAUUCCUGGUGUAGCGGUGGAAUGCGCAGAUAUCAGGAGGAACACCGGUGGCGAAGGCGGGUCUCUGGGCAGUAACUGACGCUGAGGAGCGAAAAGCGUGGGGAGCGAACAGG
rnacentral:rRNA from 1 species